rnacentral:misc_RNA from 1 species
ACGAUUCUGGCCCUCGGGUCAAACCUCUUCAGCUGUGCGCCCCGGCUGCACGCUGUUGAACCUCUCACACCUGUGCACUAUUCGGUUGUGGCUUGCUUUACGCAAACUGCUUCCGCCUUUUACAUCAAACUACAGUCCUGAAUGUCUAAAACAAUAAAGUAA